CACAGCUGGGGGCCAGAAUAAUGGCUGGAGAUAGAGGGCUCUGUCAACCCCCAGAUUCCUACUGCAACUUUAGUUUGUGUUGCCAGUCCCAGCUGAAGUGUGUCUGGCAAGGCUUCAGAGGCUCACCGGUACUGAGAUCCCAGAGACGAGAGGAGUUUCAGAGCCGAUCUGGUCCAUAGUUGGGUGUGGUGGGACAUGCCUGUUGCCCCUGGAGGAUCGGGAGUUCAAGGUCAGCCUC
rnacentral:lncRNA from 1 species